GUUGAAGUCCACAAAUCUUAAAGUUGCCAAGUUUAGGGACCCCAGUUCUAUACCAUAUUGAACUUCACAUCCUUGGGAAUGGAAUUAGUGAACAGCUUUGGUUUCUUGUACUGCUUAAAUUCCAAAUAUUCUCAAGUCGGUUAGAAACGGGAGUUUAGAUACGCGGAAGGCUCCAAUCUACCGGUUUAACCCUUCGGCCAACAGCUACCCCUAGUGGCUCUGUUGCGGGAAGCAACUUAUCUUGCGCAUACAAACCUCGCCGCCGGUUUCGCCGCGGUUAACAGGUUUAACCAGCGAGGUAACUCCGAGACGAGGUCACCAACUAAGCGUUAACUCCUUUGGUUCCGGAUAACGAGCGGCUAUCCUUCCACGACCACGUGAACGACGUACCAGAACCCGAAGGCCAAAAGGAAAGGCCUCCGUUUCCCAAAGCGGAGAAAGACCGAACCAGGAUCCAAAGCAACACAAGUUCUCCUUCCCUAUGAAGAAGCUUCCCAAUGAUUUUGUCAGAAAAAUUAGACUUACAGCGUACAGGAUAACUUUCCGAAAACCACAGAGUGAGAGGAAUUAGAUAUGGCAGAAGAAGACAACAAAAGAAAUGUGUAAUCUGAAAAUAAGCUAGAUCAAGCCAUUGACUGCAGAGG
rnacentral:lncRNA from 1 species